rnacentral:rRNA from 1 species
GAUAAACGCUGGCGGCGUGGAUUAGGCAUGCAAGUCGAACGAGAUCUGUAGCAAUACAGUGAAAGUGGCGAAAGGGAGAGUAAUACGUAGGUACCUGCCCUCGGGUCUGGGAUAGCUGCGGGAAACUGCAAUUAAUACCGGAUGACGUCUCUGGACCAAAGGUGUGAUUCCGCCAGAGGAUGGGCCUGCGUCCUAUCAGCUAGUUGGUGUGGUAAAGGCGCACCAAGGCGAAGACGGGUACGGGGUGUGAGAGCAUGCCCCCGCUCACUGGGACUGAGAUACUGCCCAGACACCUACGGGUGGCUGCAGUCGAGAAUCUUCCGCAAUGGGCGAAAGCCUGACGGAGCGACGCCGCGUGUGGGAUGAAGGCCUUCGGGUUGUAAACCACUGUCAGUGGGGAGCAAGUGCAUCGGGGUUCUCCCCGGUGUUUGAGCGAUCCGCAGAGGAAGCACAGGCUAAUUCCGUGCCAGCCGCCGCAGUAA